rnacentral:rRNA from 1 species
CCUACGGGAGGCAGCAGUGGGGAAUUUUGGACAAUGGGCGAAAGCCUGAUCCAGCAAUGCCGCGUGAGUGAAGAAGGCCUUCGGGUUGUAAAGCUCUUUUGUCAGGGAAGAAACGGUGAGAGCUAAUAUCUCUUGCUAAUGACGGUACCUGAAGAAUAAGCACCGGCUAACUACGUGCCAGCAGCCGCGGUAAUACGUAGGGUGCAAGCGUUAAUCGGAAUUACUGGGCGUAAAGCGUGCGCAGGCGGUUUUGUAAGUCUGAUGUGAAAUCCCCGGGCUCAACCUGGGAAUUGCAUUGGAGACUGCAAGGCUAGAAUCUGGCAGAGGGGGGUAGAAUUCCACGUGUAGCAGUGAAAUGCGUAGAUAUGUGGAGGAACACCGAUGGCGAAGGCAGCCCCCUGGGUCAAGAUUGACGCUCAUGCACGAAAGCGUGGGGAGCAAACAGGAUUAGAUACCCUGGUAGUCCACGCCCUAAACGAUGUCUACUAGUUGUCGGGUCUUAAUUGACUUGGUAACGCAGCUAACGCGUGAAGUAGACCGCCUGGGGAGUACGGUCGCAAGAUUAAAACGUCAAAGGAAUUGACGGCGNGAGAGAGCGACGGACGACGACGAGGGAGGAGG